rnacentral:tRNA from 1 species
ACCUGGCUGGCUCUGUUGGUGGAGCAUGUAACUCUUGAUUUCGGGGGGUGUGAGUUCAAGCCUCAUGUUGGGUG